rnacentral:rRNA from 1 species
AUGGCGCCGAGGAGGAGGCAGAGCGGCAGGAGCGGGUUGGCCACGGAGAUGGCCGUCCGCGGCGUCGUACUGCUCAUUGCCGGCACCGACACAUCGGCGCUGACCACGGAGUGGGCGAUGGCGCUGCUUGUGAAGCACCCAGAGGUGACGCGGAAGAUGAGGGCUGAGAUAGACGCCAACGUCGGCAUGGGCCGACUGGUUGAGGAGUCGGACAUCACCAACCUACCUUACCUGCAGUGCGUUGUCAAGGAGACCCUUCGGCUGUGCCCCGUCGGCCCAAUCAUCCCAGCGCACGAGGCCAUGUAG